rnacentral:lncRNA from 1 species
UAAUAUAGUUGGAACCUCUUCUUUACAGUGGUAUCAAAGCUUGUAUACGGUGGUUUCUGAUGCCGGUGUUGGUAGAUCUGAAAAGUUUUGGACUCGUGCAGUAGAUUUAGCUUAUGUCUUCAAACCCUAAUUAGGGGUUCUUGGUGAGUUCGUUCCAUUUAUUUCAAUUUACAGUAUACAAUUACCUGUCUACAAUCUGUGACCCUUGCAACUGUGGUAAAACUUAUAAAUCAGAGACUUCUUGAUAGUUCCUUUGUCCAGAAACCGUGAGUUGUCUGGAAUCUGAGGGCUAUCUUGAAUAAAAGUCGAUGGUUUAACACUAAUCCUAUUAUUCUUGCAAGUAUCCUGUAUUGAUUAGUAUAAAGUAUGCUGCAAUUAUACUACUGUGACUUGCUGUGUUGCUGUUUUUGAGUAAAUUGCCUAAUAAUUGAAUGAACUGCUCACUGUUUCUGCUAAAUAACUUGUUUUAUACAACUUGCUGAUUGUACACUUUAUGUUGAUUAUUGUGUAUGACAUUUGAGACACUGCACGUUGUAAAUAGUGUUCAAAAUUCAUGUAAUCUACCUGCACUAUUAAAAAUCAAAUUGUGUUUUGAUUAUGUCAACUAAAGUUGAAUUGGAAAUCUUCAAUGGUAAAGAAGACUUCAGUCUCUAGCGCCAGAAAAUGCAAGCACUUUUACUUCAACAAUAAUGCGCUAAAGCCCUUGAUGAGUCAUGGCCAGAUGAUAUGGAAGAAACUAAGAUAACUGAACUUGAUGAAAUUGCAUGGAGUUCUAUAUUCCUGCAUCUUUCUGACAAUGUACUUAGAGAAAUAGG